rnacentral:tRNA from 1 species
UAAGAAGCUAACACGGGCCUAGCGUUAGCCUUUUAAGCUAAAGAGUGGUGCCUCCCAAACACCCUUAGUGACAU